AAGGGAUUUCCCUCUAAGAGAGAGAUGCAGGGGAGGGAGGACGGAAAAAAGCGGUGUAAAGUGCGCGAGUGAGACGGAGAGAGGAAGAACAAAGAGAAAGAGCUGCCAAGAAGUGCACAGAGCUGCUCUGAGACUCUGUCCAUUUUCCCAGACCAUGCUGUCCAGCAAUGUGAAGUGAUCUCCCAACUUGGAAAUGAGUAACAACCAGGCCCAAACCAUGAGGAACAAGGAGAUAAAACUCUCUCUCAGCCUCUUCUUGCGUGUCAUCCUGCAUUCACUGGCCUCUUUUUUUCUCAGAGUGGUAUUAUCUAGUGGCAGUGCCCUCAGGCUCUCUUCUCUUAAACAUUUAAACAUCACGCAAUCCCUGCUGUCCCAAACUAGCACCUCUCUUUCUUUCUCUCUCUCUCUCUGUCGCUCUAUCUCUCUCUUUCUCUCUCUCUCUGACUCC